rnacentral:rRNA from 1 species
AGCGCGGUGGUCCCACCUGACCCCAUGCCGAACUCAGCAGUGAAACGCCGUAGCGCCGAUGGUAGUGUGGGGUCUCCCCAUGUGAGAGUAGGGA